GGCUGAAAUUCGCCUUCAUGAAGCCGGAAUUGCUAGUAAUGGCAGGUCAGCAUACUGCCGUGAAUACGUUCCCGGGCCUUGUGCACACCGCCCGUCACACCAUGAGAGUCGGGAACACCCGAAGUCCGUAGUCUAACCGCAAGGGGGGCGCGGCCGAAGGUGGGUCCGGUAAUUGGGGUGAAGUCGUAACAAGGUACC
rnacentral:rRNA from 1 species